UAGUGAUUAAGGGGCGGUGUGUACAAGGCCCGGGAACGUAUUCACCGUGACAUUCUGAUUCACGAUUACUAGCGAUUCCGACUUCACGCAGUCGAGUUGCAGACUGCGAUCCGGACUACGAUCGGUUUUAUGGGAUUAGCUCCACCUCGCGGCUUGGCAACCCUUUGUACCGACCAUUGUAGCACGUGUGUAGCCCCAGGGCCGUAAGGGCCAUGAUGACUUGACGUCAUCCCCCACCUUCCUCCCGGUUUGUCACCCGGCAGUUCUUCCUUUAAGAGUUGG
rnacentral:rRNA from 1 species